AUUGAACGCUGGCGGCAGGCCUAACACAUGCAAGUCGAGCGGAUGAAGGGAGCUUGCUCCUGGAUUCAGCGGCGGACGGGUGAGUAAUGCCUAGGAAUCUGCCUGGUAGUGGGGGAUAACGUCCGGAAACGGGCGCUAAUACCGCAUACGUCCUGAGGGAGAAAGUGGGGGAUCUUCGGACCUCACGCUAUCAGAUGACCCUAGGAUGGAUUAGCUAGUUGGUGGGGUAAAGGCCUACCAAGGCGACGAUCCGUAACUGGUCUGAGAGGAUGAUCAGUCACACUGGAACUGAGACACGGUCCAGACUCCUACGGGAGGCAGCAGUGGGGAAUAUUGGGCAAUGGGCGAAAGCCUGAUCCAGCCAUGCCGCGUGUGUGAAGAAGGUCUUCGGAUUGUAAAGCACUUUAAGUUGGGAGGAAGGGCAGUAAGUUAAUACCUUGCUGUUUUGACGUUACCAACAGAAUAAGCACCGGCUAACUUCGUG
rnacentral:rRNA from 1 species